rnacentral:rRNA from 1 species
AGGGCUCACCAAGGCGACGAUCCCUAGCUGGUCUGAGAGGAUGAUCAGCCACACUGGAACUGAGACACGGUCCAGACUCCUACGGGAGGCAGCAGUGGGGAAUAUUGCACAAUGGGCGCAAGCCUGAUGCAGCCAUGCCGCGUGUGUGAAGAAGGCCUUCGGGUUGUAAAGCACUUUCAGUCGUGAGGAAGGUAGUGUAGUUAAUAGCUGCAUCAUUUGACGUUAGCGACAGAAGAAGCACCGGCUAACUCCGUGCCAGCAGCCGCGGUAAUACGGAGGGUGCGAGCGUUAAUCGGAAUUACUGGGCGUAAAGCGCAUGCAGGUGGUUUGUUAAGUCAGAUGUGAAAGCCCGGGGCUCAACCUCGGAAUUGCAUUUGAAACUGGCAGACUAGAGUACUGUAGAGGGGGGUAGAAUUUCAGGUGUAGCGGUGAAAUGCGUAGAGAUCUGAAGGAAUACCGGUGGCGAAGGCGGCCCCCUGGACAGAUACUGACACUCAGAUGCGAAAGCGUGGGGAGCAAACAGGAUUAGAUACCCUGGUAGUCCACGCCGUAAACGAUGUCUACUUGGAGGUUGUGGCCUUGAGCCGUGGCUUUCGGAGCUAACGCGUUAAGUAGACCGCCUGGGGAGUACGGUCGCAAGAUUAAAACUCAAAUGAAUUGACGGGGGCCCGCACAAGCGGUGGAGCAUGUGGUUUAAUUCGAUGCAACGCGAAGAACCUUACCUACUCUUGACAUCCAGAGAACUUUCCAGAGAUGGAUUGGUGCCUUCGGGAACUCUGAGACAGGUGCUGCAUGGCUGUCGUCAGCUCGUGUUGUGAAAUGUUGGGUUAAGUCCCGCAACGAGCGCAACCCUUAUCCUUGUUUGCCAGCGAGUAAUGUCGGGAACUCCAGGGAGACUGCCGGUGAUAAACCGGAGGAAGGUGGGGACGACGUCAAGUCAUCAUGGCCCUUACGAGUAGGGCUACACACGUGCUACAAUGGCGCAUACAGAGGGCAGCCAACUUGCGAAAGUGAGCGAAUCCCAAAAAGUGCGUCGUAGUCCGGAUUGGAGUCUGCAACUCGACUCCAUGAAGUCGGAAUCGCUAGUAAUCGUGGAUCAGAAUGCCACGGUGAAUACGUUCCCGGGCCUUGUACACACCGCCCGUCACACCAUGGGAGUGGGCUGCAAAAGAAGUAGGUAGUUUAACCUUCGGGGGGACGCUUACCACUUUGUGGUUCAUGACUGGGGUGAAGUCGUAA